UUGUCUUUUAAAUGAAGACCUGUAUGAAUGGCAUAACGAGGGCCUAACUGUCUCCUUUUUCCAGUCAAUGAAAUUGAUCUUCCCGUGCAGAAGCGAGAAUACCAACAUAAGACGAGAAGACCCUAUGGAGCUUUAAACACCAGAACAGCCCAUGUCUAACACCCCUUAACAAAGGAAUAAACUAAUUGGCCCCUGUCCUAAUGUCUUUGGUUGGGGCGACCGCGGAGAAACAAAAAACCUCCCUGUGGACUGGGAACACUUUUUACCCUACAACUUAGAGUCACAACUCAAAGCACCAGAAUUUCUGACCCGCAAGAUCCGGCACCAGCCGAUCAACGAACCGAGUUACCCUAGGGAUAACAGCGCAAUCCUCUUCUAGAGCCCAUAUCGACAAGGGGGUUUACGACCUCGAUGUUGGAUCAGGACAUCCUAAU
rnacentral:rRNA from 1 species